GAUGAACGCUGGCGGCGUGCCUAAUACAUGCAAGUCGAGCGAACGGACGAGGAGCUUGCUCCUCUGAUGUUAGCGGCGGACGGGUGAGUAACACGUGGAUAACCUACCUAUAAGACUGGGAUAACUUCGGGAAACCGGAGCUAAUACCGGAUAAUAUUUUGAACCGCAUGGUUCAAUAGUGAAAGACGGUUUUGCUGUCACUUAUAGAUGGAUCCGCGCUGCAUUAGCUAGUUGGUAAGGUAACGGCUUACCAAGGCAACGAUGCAUAGCCGACCUGAGAGGGUGAUCGGCCACACUGGAACUGAGACACGGUCCAGACUCCUACGGGAGGCAGCAGUAGGGAAUCUUCCGCAAUGGGCGAAAGCCUGACGGAGCAACGCCGCGUGAGUGAUGAAGGUCUUCGGAUCGUAAAACUCUGUUAUUAGGGAAGAACAAAUGUGUAAGUAACUAUGCACAUCUUGACGGUACCUAAUCAGAAAGCCACGGCUAACUACGUG
rnacentral:rRNA from 1 species